UCCUGCCCCUUCACCCCCACGCGCGUGGUUCUUUCUCCGCGGCGCGAAGGGGCGACGUCGGACUCGAGCUGACUCGGGUUCAGUCCAUGCAGGAGGAUGGAGAUACAGAAGAGGGCGAGUGGGUUCGACUACCCGGAGAGAAACGACGCCAAGCCAGUAAACGGUUUUUACAGUGAUCAUCAGCUUGAAACUGAGCACAACAACAUGGAGAUCCUACUGGACUUUGAUCAGGCUGCCUUGGUAUGACCUCAACUCUUUGACCUUCACUUUGAGCACUGCGGCGUCCAGGAGUUUGGUGUCAGGACAUGCCCAGUGUCACCAAAAUAA